rnacentral:rRNA from 1 species
CUACGGGGUGCAGCAGUGAGGAAUAUUGCACAAUGGGGGGAACCCUGAUGCAGCAACGCCGCGUGGAGGAUGACGCAUUUCGGUGUGUAAACUCCUUUUAUAUGUCAAGAAAAUGACGGUAGCAUAUGAAUAAGCACCGGCUAACUCCGUGCCAGCAGCCGCGGUAAUACGGAGGGUGCAAGCGUUACUCGGAAUCACUGGGCGUAAAGGACGCGUAGGCGGGUUGGAAAGUCAGGUGUGAAAUCCUACAGCUUAACUGUAGAACUGCACUUGAAACUUCUAAUCUAGAGUAUGGGAGGGGGAGAUGGAAUUAGUGGUGUAGGGGUAAAAUCCGUAGAUAUCACUAGGAAUACCUAAAGCGAAGGCGAUCUCCUGGAACAUUACUGACGCUAAGGCGUGAAGGCGUGGGGAGCAAACAGGGUUAGAUACCCCCGUAGUC